rnacentral:snoRNA from 1 species
UGGAUCAAUGAUGCCUCCCCGUGGCGUUAUGAGUCACAUGUGAUGAAAACAUGCCUGGAACUCUGAGGUCCGA